rnacentral:ncRNA from 2 species
UAAAUAGUUGGCGAUGGAGUCCGCCGGGGUGGAGAGGGCAUCACCCAAACCGCAUUGAUGCUGAUGGCUCCUGAUCUCAC